GCAGGAACGGGGUUGGAUAGGGGGGCCGCUCUGGAGUCUGGGGACCGGGACCCCACGUUCUCCUCCAAACAGGGCCCGACUUCCACCGCCCAGGCUGGGCCUCAGCUCCUCGCCGCUCCCCGGGAAGGCGGCCGGCCUGGGCGCCACAGCCCGCCUCGCACCGGCCUCCAGGCGGGUCUCGGCCCCGCGCCGCCCGCCUCCCCAGCCCGCGGCUGCAGGCCGAGGGGGCCUCACCGUCCCCGACCACGAUCGCCCGGUCCCCGUCCCGGUCAGGGCGGUCCCCGGGCCGUCCGCUGCGCCCCCGGCCACCAUCGCCGGGUCUCGUCCCCUGCACCCCCGAACGCCAUCGGCGGGCCCCCGCCCCGGGGCCAUCCCCUCCGCCCGGACUCCCGGCCCGCGGACCCCCGGCCCGCGGACCCCGGGGAGGUCGGCACGGCGAGCGUGCGCGCUCACGUGCUGCGUGGCGGCGUCCCCGGCGUGCGCGCGGCCGGGCGGGGGCGGGCGGCGCGGCUCGGGCUCGGGCUCGGGCUGGGGCUGAGCGCUCGGGGCUGCGGGCGAGGCGCGGGCUGGGCGUCUCGGGCGCGCUCGGGGCCGCGCUCGGGGCCGCGCCAGGACACGGCCAGCGCGCCGCAGCCGGCGGCCCAGGCAGCCCGCGGACCGGCGGCCCGAGCCGGCGCGGCGUGCGGGGCGGCCCGCGGAGGUGAGGCGGGCGGCGGACACACGCCGGGCAGCGCCGGGCCGCGUUUAUGUAAGCGCCGCGGGGCAGGUGGGGAGGCCGCCGGCCGUGCGGCACCAGCGGGACCCGGGCUGCCGGCCGCUGUGUCCGGAGGGCUGUCCGGAGGGGCCGCGGGCCGCCUGGGGAGGGCAGGCUGCGCCCGGACGCCCGCGUGUCCUCCCCGGGCGCCGCGUCUGCGCGGGAUGCUCUGCGCCGCGGGAGAGGAGGCUGCGCCCCGGGAUGGAGGGGAGGCUGCGCCCCGGGGAGGGAGACUGCGCCUCGGGAUGAAGCUGCGCCCGGGGGAGGGAGACUGCGCCCCGGGAUGGAGGAGGACUAUGCCCCGGGAUGAAGCUGCGCCCCAGAGUGGGAGACUGCGCCCCAGGAUGGAGGGGGGACUAUGCCCCGGGAUGAAGCCGUGCCCCGGGGAGGGAGGCUGCGCCCCGAGGAGGGAGUCCGCACCCCGGGAUGGAUGGGGGACUAUGCCCCGGGAUGAAGCUGCGCCCCGGGGAGGGAGGCUGCGCCCCGGGGAGGGAGUCUGCUCCCUGGGAUGUAGCUGCGCCCGAGGGGUGGGGGGACUGCGCCCCAGGGUGAAGCUGCGCCAGGGGAGUUGGGAGACUGCGCCCCGGGGUGAAGCUGCGCCUCCGGGGAGGGGAGACGACGUCGGGGACAGCCUCGUCCCUUCCCUCGGAGUGCUGCGUCUUCUCCGGAUGCCUUCUGCCCCAGGAAGGGAAGGCUGCGCCCGGGGAUGA
rnacentral:lncRNA from 1 species